rnacentral:misc_RNA from 1 species
AUUAAAUUACACUUUGAAAGCGCUGCAGAUGCGACAGCAGCUCUCUGGCCCAGCAGCUAUCAAUUAAACGUUUCAACAUAUUUAACUAGUGAAAUUUCGUUCAACAUUUUAACCGGUUAAUCGCCAGCAACUUAAGCCGAGCUAUUUUCCUGCUUCAAGGAUUCCGUCAUAAGCCAGUCGAGUUAUUAAAUGUUGCUGAAAACGCAGUCAACAGAAUAUUAAACCCAAAAUCCAACUGUUUGUUUACCCUGUAAAAUUCAAGAAAAAUAGUACGCGUUUCUUUACUUAUUUGCAAGCCCACCAUUGGGCCAUUUCAAACUGGCACAUCAAUUUUGGUUUUCCUAUCCGCCACCUGGCGCUGGCGGCGGCUCCUCAACUCAGCUACAAAUUCUAGCAAGAUCGUAUAUGUAAAACUUGCCACACACACACACACGCACACACAUAAACAUUCAUAUACACACACACACACACAGACACACUGAAACACAUGUUAGCAUAGCUGCAAGUGUAUUUGUAUAUUCAGUGUUUCCUCGACUCGAAAGCAAAACAAAACAGAACGCUAAACAAACAACAACAGCAAUAAA